rnacentral:rRNA from 1 species
CCUACGGGUGGCAGCAGUGGGGAAUCUUAGACAAUGGGCGAAAGCCUGAUCUAGCCAUGCCGCGUGUGUGAUGAAGGCCUUAGGGUCGUAAAGCACUUUCGCUGGGGAAGAUAAUGACUGUACCCAGUAAAGAAACCCCGGCUAACUCCGUGCCAGCAGCCGCGGUAAUACGGAGGGGGUUAGCGUUGUUCGGAAUUACUGGGCGUAAAGCGCGCGUAGGCGGAUUAGAAAGUUGGGGGUGAAAUCCCGGGGCUCAACCUCGGAACUGCCUCCAAAACUACUAGUCUAGAGUUCGAGAGAGGUGAGUGGAAUUCCGAGUGUAGAGGUGAAAUUCGUAGAUAUUCGGAGGAACACCAGUGGCGAAGGCGGCUCACUGGCUCGAUACUGACGCUGAGGUGCGAAAGUGUGGGGAGCAAACAGGAUUAGAUACCCUUGUAGUC